rnacentral:rRNA from 1 species
UACGGAGGGUGCGAGCGUUGUCCGGAAUCACUGGGCGUAAAGGGUGCGUAGGCGGGUCUUUAAGUCAGGGGUGAAAUCCUGGAGCUCAACUCCAGAACUGCCUUUGAUACUGAAGAUCUUGAGUUCGGGAGAGGUGAGUGGAACUGCGAGUGUAGAGGUGAAAUUCGUAGAUAUUCGCAAGAACACCAGUGGCGAAGGCGGCUACCUGGACCGGUUCUGACGCUGAGGCGCGAAAGCGUGGGUAGCAAACAGG